CCCUUGGUGAAGAGUCGCCGAUUGUGGCGGCCUGCUCAGGACGAAUGAUCUGAGCUAGCCAAGGGGGUUUU
rnacentral:ncRNA from 1 species